rnacentral:rRNA from 1 species
ACAUUUAAAGAGUGCGUAAUAGCUCACUGGUCAAGUGGUAGAGCGCCGAAAAUGAACGGGGCUAAAAUCUAAUACCGAAGCUGUGGACUAAUUUAAUUAGUGGUAGAGGAGCAUUGUGUAAGGGGCGAAGCUAAGUUGGAAGACGAAGUGGACUUUACAGAAGAGAGAAUGCUGGCAUGAGUAGCGAAAAGGAGGGUGAGAAUCCCUCCCGUCGAAAGCCUAAGGAUUCCUGAGGAAGGCUCGUCCUCUCAGGGUAAGUCGGGACCUAAGCCCAGGCUGAAAAGCGUAAGCGAUGGACAACAGGUUGAGAUUCCUGUACUAUCUUUGAAUGUUUGAGAGAUGUACUGACGCAGGAGGAUAUGUUGAGCGUGUGAAUGGUAGAGCACGUCUAAGCAAGUAGGUAGAGAAUAGAGGCAAAUCCCUAUUCUUAAUAUCGAGAUGCGAUGGGGAGCGAAAAAUAAGUAGUGAAGCAACAGAUUCCAAACUGCCAAGAAAAGGUACUAUUGAGUGAGAAGAUACCCGUACCAAAACCGACACAGGUAGGCAAGGAGAGAAUCCUAAGACGCGCGGAAGAACCUUUGUUAAGGAACUCGGCAAAAUGACCCCGUAACUUCGGGAGAAGGGGUACCAUUAGAUGUGAAGUACAUACGUAUGGAGCAUAGAGUGGUCGCAGAGAAUAGGCCCAAGCAACUGUUUACCAAAAACACAAGUCUCUGCUAAAUCGAAAGAUGAAGUAUAGGGGCUGACACCUGCCCGGUGCUGGAAGGUUAAGGGGAAAUGUUAGAGCAAUCGAAGCAUAGAACUUAAGCCCCAGUAAACGGCGGCCGUAACUAUAACGGUCCUAAGGUAGCGAAAUUCCUUGUCGGGUAAGUUCCGACCCGCACGAAAGGUGUAAUGAUUUGGGCACUGUCUCAACAAAGGAUCCGGUGAAAUUGUAGUAGUCGUGAAGAUGCGACUUACCCACGAUAGGACGGAAAGACCCCGUGGAGCUUUACUGUAGGCUGGCAUUGGAAUUUGGUAUUAAAUGUACAGGAUAGGUGGGAGACAAAGAAGCGAGAGCGCCAGUUUUCGUGGAGUCGACGUUGGGAUACCACUCUUUUGAUACUAAAUUUCUAACUUGAUACUCUGAAUCGAGUAUAAGGACACUGUCAGUUGGGCAGUUUGACUGGGGCGGUCGCCUCCUAAAGAGUAACGGAGGCGUUCAAAGGUUCCCUCAGAAUGGAUGGAAAUCAUUCUAAGAGUGCAAAGGCAAAAGGGAGCUUAACUGCGACACCAACAAGUGGAGCAGAUAGGAAACUAGGACUUAGUGAUCCGGUGGUACCGAGUGGAAGGGCCAUCGCUCAACGGAUAAAAGCUACCCCGGGGAUAACAGGCUUAUCUCCCCCAAGAGUUCACAUCGACGGGGAGGUUUGGCACCUCGAUGUCGGCUCGUCUCAUCCUGGGGCUGGAGUAGGUCCCAAGGGUUGGGCUGUUCGCCCAUUAAAGAGGCACGCGAGCUGGGUUCAGAACGUCGUGAGACAGUUCGGUCCCUAUCCAUCGUGGGCGUAGGAAAUUUGAGAGGAGCUGUCCUUAGUACGAGAGGACCGGGAUGGACAGACCGCUGGUGUAUCAGUUAUCAUGCCAAUGGUAAUGCUGAAUAGCUAAGUCUGGAAGGGAUAAGUGCUGAAGGCAUCUAAGCACGAAGCCCCCCUCAAGAUGAGAUUUCCUGUUGC